CGGGUCACCCAAGCAAAGGACGCGGCGCGGGAGAAACCGUGGUAUUGGUCGGAAGGCAGGGUGGGACAGCAGAGAAGGCUGCUUGCUGAGAACAGCUGUCUAGCUGUGCUGAUGCAAGCUGUCUACCUUUUCCAAACCUUCACCUCCUACCUCUGAAGUCUUAUAGGCAGGAAUUGCCACACCCAGGCUUCACCAAGAUAACCCGAAUACAGACGAAAAACUGACCAAAGCAUUAAAAAAAAACCAACACUGUGUCUAUGAAGUUAUUUUGGAGUCAGGAUAAGCGACAACCCAAAGGAAGAAGUAACCCCCUGGCCACUUCAGUUGAGAAGAGAACAGAAGUUCUGUUCUGAAGAGAAUAGAAGUCUCUUCCCUCCUCCAGUACAUAGGACCUCUCUACCUCCCUUCCCCAAACUUGCUGUGAUUUUACAUAUUCAACAGCAACUGCGGGACUAGGGGCAUGCUGAAAUAGGGGGUUGGGGAGUGAAGUAUGACUCAGGGUCACUCAUGCCUUUUUCUUUCAAGGAUAAGCAAGUGGCCUUGGAAGUCAGGGAGGAAUGCCCUGAAGUCUGAGUUCAGGGAAGCCCUUGAAUGUUGCAGAAUGGGGCCAGCUCUUCCAAAGGGGAAGUACAUGACCAAACAGUUGCACCAGAAGAAGGCACGCUUCGAGCACAUGGCACAUUAAAAUCAAGCAGAUCAGACACUCAACAAGGAAUCUGAAGAAUUAAAAUAAAGAUCCUGAACUACAGAAUAAGAAAAUUCAACGAACUGAAGCUAUGACUCACCUCUAAAGGUCAAGAAACAUUGUGAGUACCAAGUGUGAUCACACUCUCCAGAUGUCAGAGCUCCACAUUAUGGGUCAAACUGGCAUCCCAUCAACUUCUGAACCUGAGAGCUGGGGCAAAAUUUACUGUGGAAACACCACUGAAAGAACUUCAUGUUCCUAGAAGCUCCCUGGAUUAUAAACUCAGAAGUGGAGAUAGCUGCGAGAGUGAUUAGACAGAGUUGGAAAGUUCAUGCUCCCAGAGAAGUGGCAACGCCUUCAAACUUGGGCAAAGGGCCCCUGCUCUAGUCCCGCACCUUAGAGGGACCCGGAAACCAGAAAACCACAAAUAACAAAUUUGGCAAAAAUCACAUGGGUACUUCUGUCACUCAGGACCCAGUGCUCAGUGACGACAUUGAGCAAUUCACAAUCUAGCAUGGCUGCUGCUGUGAGUCACGCCAUUUAAGCACCAGAGGAACACUCUGCCACCCUACCCUGUGUCCAAAUGAAGAAGAGAGGACUGUGGCACUGCUGACGUCAGAGACGGACAACGCUUCAGAGCAUGAGGAGCAUUUGAGUGGGAGAAAUUAUUAGGCAAGAAAAUAUUUAGCUCAAUGUAUCUUUCUUCUCAAAUUUCAUGACCACGGUAGGUUUUUGAA